GACGAACGCUGGCGGCGUGCUUAACACAUGCAAGUCGAACGGAAAGGCCCUGCUUUUGUGGGGUGCUCGAGUGGCGAACGGGUGAGUAACACGUGAGUAACCUGCCCUUGACUUUGGGAUAACUUCAGGAAACUGGGGCUAAUACCGGAUAGGAGCUCCUGCUGCAUGGUGGGGGUUGGAAAGUUUCGGCGGUUGGGGAUGGACUCGCGGCUUAUCAGCUUGUUGGUGGGGUAGUGGCUUACCAAGGCUUUGACGGGUAGCCGGCCUGAGAGGGUGACCGGCCACAUUGGGACUGAGAUACGGCCCAGACUCCUACGGGAGGCAGAAGUGGGGAAUAUUGCACAAUGGGCGGAAGCCUGAUGCAGCAACGCCGCGUGCGGGAUGACGGCCUUCGGGUUGUAAACCGCUUGCGCCUGUGACGAAGCGUGAGUGACGGUAAUGGGUAAAGAAGCACCGGCUAACUACGUG
rnacentral:rRNA from 1 species